UAGUAAACCUAGCAGAAGACCACGAUCCCCACCUGAUGAGAUAACUCCCCAGUUCAUCCAGUUCCUGCAGUUCCUCCCACCUCCCUCAACUCUCCUCUUUCUUCGAUUAUGGUUGCUAUAAAAACAAUCGACGCUUUGAAACCGUAUACACAGAUAAUACAAUAUUUAAAUUUCGAAGAAGGAAAUCAAUCAAUUUCUUCAUUCUCUGCAAGACAUCAUCGAUUUUAUCUGCACAAGCUGGUCUUCUUGGAGUUCACUCAUUCUUCUAAGUGGUUGUUGUUGCUGCUGCUGUACGUUCAAGGGAUAGUUUUGGUUUCUCGGUUCUGAAUUUUGACACUCUUCUCAAGGAAAAUUGUUUUACCUGGUUUUGAUUUCUUAGUAUUAGAUGUUAUUGUUACUCUUUGUGUUUUUAGGUUGUCAUCGCAAUAGUUGAGCAUAUAUUUGUAGUCGUUUCAUGAUUAAGAGGACAUGGAUAAGAGCUGGGUUGAUAAGGACCCUGCUUCUCUAGAGUAUGAGGAAGGGUUGAAUGCAUUCCUAGAUUAAUUUCUUAUUAUGUGUUUUUUAUCCACACGUUGUGUGAUAUUUUUGUUUUGUUAUGAUGUGUUUACUUGUUGUUUGUGGUUCUUGCAUGAAAUAUGGAUGAAAACCCACAACCUCCGGCAGCAAAGAAAGUAAGGGAGGGGCUAAGUUGACCUUCCUUAAUAAGCUGAAAAAGGGUGAGAAAGUAUCACUGGAAUUUUGCCGAGGUGCACCAGUUGGACCGAACGCAAGUAAGAUCUCGGCUUAUUGUGGAAAGCUGGCACUAAAUGGAGAAAACUUCCCUUUUGACAUUCCAGACUGGUCUGAUAUGCCCCAUAAGGAAGAAAAGCUUGAAGAAGCCAUUGAAGAGUUGAAGGUUAAGAAAAUAAUAUAUUAAAUUAUUUAAUUGAUUGAAGAUUGCUAAAUUUUAACUGAUGAAUGUUGUAGAAUAUUUUUUCAUUAUUCUGAUGAGAUCAACUUUUGAGUGGAGGAGAAAAUCCAUGAAAAAUGGAAGGCAAACAAACGUAACAUCAGGUUGGAACAUUUCGAUGAGAAGAAGACUGAUGCACAAAACCGAGCUAGUUGUCCAGACGAAGUUAUUGACACUCAGUGGGCAAAUAUGUUGAUAUAUUGGCGUUCACCUGAAUUCAAGAACAUAGAAAAAGAGUGAGAAUGGCGAAGCAAGUAGAAAGCGUUUGGUUGUGCCUCAUCAUGGUGGUACUAAGUCAUUCGUGAACCACGCGAUAGAGAUAGAAGAGACAACGCAAAAGAAAGCAAGUCGAGCGGCUAUGUAUCAGAAAACCUAUAGAGCCAAAGAAGGGAAAACUCCCAACUCUAUAUCUGAAGCAAAUCGCGCUCAAAUGGAAGCCUUGGAGAGGGAAAAUUUAGAAGAGAAUGGUUCAGAUAAUGAUGUUUCAAUCUUAGAACUCACUUCUUAUGACCAGCUGAAAGGAGACAAGUAUUCUAAAAUCAUGGGAGCUGAGAAACCAGGUCGGAUUCGUGGUGUUGGUUCAUCAAUUAAAGUAACCAAUCUUACGGGGGAAUCUUCUUCAAAUGUUAUCCAAAACAACGAGGAAAAUGCUGCAUUAAGAGAUGAAAUUAAGAAACUGAAGGAGGAUCAGGUUCAUAUGCAAAACGACAUGGAAGAAGAACGUCUUGAGAUGAAGAAAACUGUAGAUAAGAUGAAAAAGGCUACGAGGAAUCACAGAAAAAAAUAGAUGCCCUUUUGCUACUAUUUGCUGGUCGGAGGGACCUCCCACAUCCAGAGCCAUAGAGUUAUGAUCUUACUAGACGAAUCUGAGUUUCAUUGAAAGAUAUUAUGUUCAAGAUACUGGAAGAUAUAUGAUAAUUAACUUUGGAAGUAAGAAAUCCAUCUGUGAUAAUUUAAGUAUGUUGUUUUCGUUCACUUUAGAUUUCUCCUGAAACUUGUAUCAGGCUCUAUUUGCUUUCUUGUAUCAGACUAAAAAUCUUAGAGUAUUAAGUUUUUAUUUGCUUUGGAAUGUAAAGAAUCAGACAAACAUGUAGUACUUGUGUUUUUUAAUGAAUACAUUGUCUUUCUGAAA